ACGAGGUAAAACGUGUGGCUGGCGCACGAUUCAUUGCAUCUCGUAGAGUAGCAUUCACUGGUAGACAGGCAGGCCUCUAGAUUGUUUAUUAUGAUUUAAUGAAGUGUUCCUAUGUGACGCUGAUGGGCCCUGGUUGCUGCUAAAUGCUUGUUGAAAGUGCAUUGUGCACUUUUUGUAUGUAGCUACAAAAUGAGGGUGGAUAUCACUUUAUAGUUUAUAGGCAUUAUAUACUAAUAAGAAUCAUUGACAAAUCACAUUCCCCUUUUACCACCACAGGACGCACCUCACCAGUAUCAGAGCAACAGCUGUGGGGUUUUUAUGCUGAUGGUGAGAUGCAUUAUUUUCAGAAAUGAUGACUGAUGACUAGUUUGUAAAACAACUAACUCAUUUGUAUGUUAAUUUCAGUACGCAAUGUAUUCUACCCUCAAAAGCAAUAUGAUUUCAGUGAGGUGAGUUCUUUCAAAUCUCAAUCAGAUGUGUAGCAUGAAAUAUAAGGCUUUUAAUAAUUUAGUCAUCCUUACUGGAGGCUACAAUUAACAUGCAUCAUAGGUCAUACACAUUACUUUGUCUUCAGGUACUGCACUUACGGGAGGAGAUGGCUACAUCUUCACAAUAAUUUACACUGCCAUAGUACACUGCUAAACAGUACUGUAACAUGGAUUUGUAUUAGGCUAUGAAGUCAUUUAAAGCAUAACUUUACUUUUCAGGGGGACAUGCUCUCUAUCAGGAGGUGGUGGUUGGACAGCUGUUGGAGACCUUUAUACUUGAAAGGUUUAUAUACUGUGUCCAUGUUGCUAUUUACUUAUUUUUGGUGCUCACGAAGAUCGUAGCCAAUACACUUGUCUCUCUGUCUCUAGCCCUGCAGAACUAGCUGGCUCCUUCUCACCCUCUCCAUCUCCCCAUCUCAGUCACACCUUCCCAUCACUAAGCAGUGAAAGCCCUGCAGGACUAGCUGGCACACCAAGCUCACCCUCUCCAUCUCCCCAUCUCAGCCACACGCUCCAAUCUGGCACAACAGAGGACAGGCCAUUCUUACCACCCGAAGUCCUUCAGCAAAUUGUACAAGAGACGCUGAGACUGGACAUGGCGAUGCUUGGCGUGUUCAACAGGGUUUCAAACACAUUCCGAGAACUAAUCAAGCCUCUCCAUCCUUCCAUAUAUAUAAAUGACAGUUUGGCAGGGGACAUUAAGCUUAAUAAAGACAAUCUCAUAUACAUAACGGUUAGAAAGAUUUACAACAAUGCAGGCUGUGGCAGUGGCCUUGCGCUACGCCUCAAA